AGUGAACGCUGGCGGUAGGCCUAACACAUGCAAGUCGAACGGCAGCACAGUAAGAGCUUGCUCUUACGGGUGGCGAGUGGCGGACGUGAGAGGAAUACAUCGGAAUCUACUUUUUCGUGGGGGUUCACGUAGGGAAACUUAAGCUAAUACCGCAUACGCCCUACGGGUGAAAGCCGUGGAACUUCGGACCUUGUGCGAUUGAAUGCGCCGAUGUCGGCUUAGUUAGUUGGCGGGGUAAAGGCCCACCAAGGCGACGAUGCGUAGCUGGUCUGAGAGGCUGGUCGCCCACACGAGAACUUAGACAGGGACCAGAGGCCUGCGGUAGGCACCAGUGGGGAAUAUGAGACAAUGGUCGCAAACCUUAUCCAGCCAUACCACGUGUGUUACGAAAGCCCUCGGUUUGUAAAGCCCUUCUGUUGGUAAAGAAAAGCAUCAGGUUAUUACCCCGCGGUUCUGACGGUACCCAAAGAAUAAGCACCGGCUAACUUCGUG
rnacentral:rRNA from 1 species